UUAUAUUACCAAGGCUUUGUCUGGAAGGUCAUAUUUGGGAGAGAUAUGCAUAGACUCAGAUAUGACCAGACAGCUUUAAGGAACUAAAUUUGAUUACAUU